UCCCGGACCUGGCGGCUGGAACCCGCUCGUCCCAACCGCCGCGCCCAGGAGAUUCUGCGUGCGCCCGCCGGCGCCCAGUGCGCAGGCGUCGGGCGCUCAGAGUGUCUGUAGGAGUUCGACUAGCAGACGAGCCCGUGUGCGAUUGUGUGAGACAGUGAAAGAAACGAUGGUCAAGUUAUUUCUUCCCUGAAUACUAAUUUGAUGGUCUGGAAAAGUUUUGGAGGCUGGCAAGCCCAAAGUCCAGGGAACACAUCUGGUGAGAGCCUUUGUUUUGCUGAUGACACUCCACAUCGACCCCA